rnacentral:misc_RNA from 1 species
GAUGAAGGAACGUAGCGAAAUGCGAUAAGUAAUGUGAAUUGCAGAAUUCAGUGAAUCAUCGAAUCUUUGAACGCACCUUGCGCUCUUUGGUAUUCCGAAGAGCAUGCCUGUUUGAGUGUCAUGAAAAUAUCAACCUUGACUUGGGUUUUGUGCUCUAGUCUCGGCUUGGAAUUGGGUGCUUGCCGCUUUUACGAGCGGCUCACCUUAAAUGUAUUAGCUGGAUCUGUCUUUGAGACUUGGUUUGACUUGGCGUAAUAAGUAUUUCGCUAAGGACAUUCUUCGGAGUGGCCUCGUUUCUAGGACGCUUGUCCGCUUUCCAAUACAAGUUCCACCUCGUGGACAUGACUUUUUAUUAUCUGGCCUCAAAUCAGGUAGGACUACCCGCUGAACUUAAGCAUAUCAAUAAGCGGAGGA